CAGUCGCCACGGGAAUACGUAGGUGGCAAGCGUUGUCCGGAAUUAUUGGGCGUAAAGCGCGCGCAGGCGGAUCGGUCAGUCUGUCUUAAAAGUUCGGGGCUUAGCCCCGUGAUGGGAUGGAAACUGCCAAUCUAGAGUAUCGGAGAGGAAAGUGGAAUUCCUAGUGUAGCGGUGAAAUGCGUAGAUAUUAGGAAGAACACCAGUGGCGAAGGCGACUUUCUGGACGAAAACUGACGCUGAGGCGCGAAAGCCAGGGGAGCGAACGGGAUUAGAUACCCCAGUAGUCCCUGUCUCUUAUACA
rnacentral:rRNA from 1 species